rnacentral:rRNA from 1 species
UUAUGGUCAUAUCGUGUUGAAAUACCGGUUCCCGUACUACCAACAAAGUUAAGCAAUGUUGAGCCUGGCAAGUACCUAGAUGGGUGACCGCAUGGGAAUACCAGGUGCUGUAAG